rnacentral:rRNA from 1 species
UUAGAGUUUGAUCCUGGCUCAAGAGGACCUUUGGCGGCGUGCCUAACACAUGCAAGUCGAGCGAAGCGGUUUUAAGGAAGUUUUCGGAUGGAAUUAAAACUGACUGAGCGGCGGACGGGUGAGUAACGCGUGGGCCCCCUGCCUCAUACAGGGGGAUAACAGUUAGAAAUGGCUGCUAAUACCGCAUAAGCACACAGCUUCGCAUGGAGCAGUGUGAAAAACUCCGGUGGUAUGAGAUGGACCCGCGUCUGAUUAGCUAGUUGGUAAGGUAACGGCUUACCAAGGCGACUAUCAGUAGCCGACCUGAGAGGGUGACCGGCCACAUUGGGACUGAGACACGGCCCAAACUCCUACGGGAGGCAGCAGUGGGGGAAUAUUGCACAAUGGGGGAAACCCUGAUGCAGCGACGCCGCGUGAGUGAAGAAGUAUCUCGGUAUGUAAAGCUCUAUCAGCAGGGAAGAAAAUGACGGUACCUGACUAAGAAGCCCCGGCUAACUACGUGCCAGCAGCCGCGGUAAUACGUAGGGGGCAAGCGUUAUCCGGAUUUACUGGGUGUAAAGGGAGCGUAGACGGCGGAGCAAGUCUGAAGUGAAAGCCCGGGGCUCAACCCCGGGACUGCUUUGGAAACUGUUCUGCUAGAGUGCUGGAGAGGUAAGUGGAAUUCCUAGUGUAGCGGUGAAAUGCGUAGAUAUUAGGAGGAACACCAGUGGCGAAGGCGGCUUACUGGACAGUAACUGACGUUGAGGCUCGAAAGCGUGGGGAGCAAACAGGAUUACAUACCCUGGUAGUCCACGCCGUAAACGA